AGAGCGAACGCUGGCGGCAGGCCUAACACAUGCAAGUCGAACGGACCCUUCGGGGUUAGUGGCGGACGGGUGAGUAACACGUGGGAACGUGCCUUUGGUUCGGAAUAGCUCCUGGAGACGGGUGGUAAUGCCGAAUGUGGCCCUUCGGGGGAAAGAUUUAUCGCCAUUAGAGCGGCCCG
rnacentral:rRNA from 1 species